GAGGGACCUGGUGGAAGAUCUUUUGAAUCAUGGGAGCAGUUUUGCCCAUAUUGUUUUCAUGGUAGUGAAUAAGUGUCACGAGAUCUGAUGGUUUUAUCAGGGGUUUCUGCUUUUGCAUCUUCCCCAUUUUCUCUUGCUCCCACCAUGUAAGAAGUGCCUUUUGCUUCCCACCAUGAUUCUGAGGCCUCCCCAGCCAUGUGGAACUGUAAGUCCAAUUACACUUCUUUUUCUACCCAGUCCAGGUAUAUCUUUGUCAGCAGCAUGAAAAUGGACUAAUACAGUCACAAACACAUAGAACUUAGCAAUUGAUGAAACUUACACAUACAGGACCUCUGACCAAUGAAGGUUGAAAACAAUGGGUAUGCAUGAUAAAGAAAAGAAGCUUUAAUAACCAGAAUAGAUUCACUGAGAAUAAUUCAAAAUAUCACUCGUUUGCCUGAGGAAAAUUCACAUCUUAAUUACUUUGAGGAAAUCUCCAAGUGCACUGACAUUAUCAAUAGGUCAGUACAGGUCAUUCCUUGCUACCUGUAGAAAUGGACGCCCACCGUACCUGAUGCCAAUGAAACACAACUGUGGCACUCAAUGCUGGAGACCUGUGAUGCUUUUGUGAAUAGAGAGGCAGAUGGAUCCCUCUGCUUAUGCUACAAUAAAUCUGCUCGUAUACAAAAGUAUACAGAGGGUAGUGAGGCACCUCUAUCAUUUCACAUACAUUCAGUCCCAUCCUCAGAAAGCACAACUAUCUUCAGUAUAGCUAGGCUAGCUUGACCUGUGGCUUGUCCUCCAUUUCCAUAGUUGGCAAAUGUUAGACCUGUGUAUACCACCAGCAAGUCUCCUUCUUCCCUAUUGGGAAGUUCCACCUCUAGGGAGAUUCUCAUUAUCCUUCCAGCAAUCUGGUUUCCUUUAUUGCCCUGCCAGUCCAUCAGACGUAUGUGAAUAUGGCAGAAGAUGAAUGGAGAACAGGGACUAUGUGUCCCCUGCAGCAAACUUCUCAGCCCCUUUGCAAAUUAGUGGUUACAAAUGGGGAGGAUGGAGUUUGUACAACUUCAUCAGCAUUGGAGCUCUCUCUUUCACCCAUCUAAGACAAGUUGUUACUUACAUUCACAUCACUUCUGUGAAGUUUGAAGGGAUUCUAAAAGAAUCAAUUUAAAAUAAAAAUGAACAGUUAAAUAACUUGUCCAAAAGCACAUAGCACAUGAGUGAACGUGAUGAGCUUUAAAUCUAGAUAUAACUGACUUCAGACGUAUAUUCUUUAUAUAACAACUUUAUUGAGGUGUACUUGUGCAAUACACUGCACAUACUUAGUGUGUACAUUUUUGUAAGUUUUGGUAUGCUAUACACCCAUGAAAUUAUCACCACAGGAAAAUAAGCAUAUAUAUAUAUAUAUAUAAAACAAAAGUUCCCUCAUGUCUUUCUUUCUGCCCCUCCCUGACCACCACCCUCUGCAUCUCAGGCAACUAUUCAUCUAUUUUCUGUCUAUUGAUUAGUUUGCAUUUCCUAGAAUUUUAUAACAAUGAACAUUCAUAGCACACACUUUUUCCCUCAAUUUCUCUCAUUUAGCAUGAUUGAGAUUAUGUUGUUUGUAUACAAACAGUUCAUUCCAUUUAUUGCAUAACAGGGUUCCAUUAUACUGAUAUGACUAUUUAUUCAUUCACCAAUUAAUGAAUAUUUGGGUUGUUUCCAGUUUGGAACCAUUGCAAAUAAAGCUCCUAUAAUCAUUAAAGUGCAAAAUGCAAUCUUCAUUUGAAGAUAAUAUGCUUUUAUUUCUCUUGGAUAACACAGUGGGUGUAUGUUUAAUUUCUUAAGAAACUGCAACACUGUUUUUCAAUGUGGUUCUACCAUUCUACAUUCACACCAGCAGUGUUGAGAAUUCUAAUUCCUCUACAUCUCAACCAAUACUUG
rnacentral:lncRNA from 1 species